CACAGCAGAGGACUCCGAUGCGGAGCCGCGUUCAAGUCACCACAUCCGUGUCACUGUCACAUUCCUUUGGGUUCCACUUGGUGGAUCAGGGUCGCCACCGUGCGCCGCCCCAAAUUCUACCGUCAAAACGCGGACCAUAAUCGCAUCCAUAUCUGAUUCACAAACGCGGACGCGCUGUAAAAUCUAACGGACGUUGGUACAGUUUUUGUUGGGGCAGACACGACCGAACAGCGCUCUCCAUAAACAGGUGGAAUUACCUCUGGGUCGGACAGGGCUAGCCAGCUGUAAUCCACCCUGCUACGGUGAUGCCCGCCUGCCUCCCGGCUUUUACGACCAAGAAUCGGAGCGCUGAUGUGAUGUUUCCCCGUCGACUGAUGAGGGAAGGAAGAGAAGGCAGCCACCACGACAUGCGAUUGUUCAACAUGACAGUGAGACAGAAAAAUAAUGUCAAGAUAAAUAAAAAAUCAUGAUGAGUGAAGUUCUUCGUCAGGUUGUGUUUUUUUCGGGUUCUUAUUUAAACGGUGUCUAGGCCAGGUCUGUGUUAUCUGUAGAAUUAAAUCUAAAUGCUGUUUGAAACGGUUAACUGGUUUAGUGUUCGUUUAUUGGGAUUAUAGCAUAAUAAGAAAGUAACUCUAUGAGCACGGAUCCAAAAUGGUCCCGUCCCGGAACAUCUAUGAGUCCGGAAUGGGUCCGUAACUGAUAAAAAGUAGUGGAACCGUGACGGAUGCAAUAAGUGGACACGGAAUGAGUCCGCAUCGGAUGUCGCGCCUCCGAACCGGGCUCACUGCGGAGGUACGCUUCUGCACGCGGAUCCGUUGCGGGUGACAAACGGGUCCCUUUUGAGUCCGCACCACGCCUCCGCGUCGGAUGAUAGGCGGCGUGCAAGUGGACGCCGAUACGGCUCCGUUUACCGGAUCCGUACCGGAGGAUGACCUCCGGAUGGUGGACUCCGGGGCGGAUCCAUUACGGUGUACUUUUGCUGUGUGGGUAGUAACUAGUUACUUUUUCAAAGUAACUUGCCCAACACUGCUCAUAUCUCAGUUACUAUUGAACACAGAC